rnacentral:rRNA from 1 species
UAAACCAUGCACCGAAGCUGCGGCAGCGACACUAUGUGUUGUUGGGUAGGGGAGCGUUCUGUAAGCCUGCGAAGGUGUGCUGUGAGGCAUGCUGGAGGUAUCAGAAGUGCGAAUGCUGACAUAAGUAACGAUAAAGCGGGUGAAAAGCCCGCUCGCCGGAAGACCAAGGGUUCCUGUCCAACGUUAAUCGGGGCAGGGUGAGUCGACCCCUAAGGCGAGGCCGAAAGGCGUAGUCGAUGGGAAACAGGUUAAUAUUCCUGUACUUGGUGUUACUGCGAAGGGGGGACGGAGAAGGCUAUGUUAGCCGGGCGACGGUUGUCCCGGUUUAAGCAUGUAGGCUGGUUAUCCAGGCAAAUCCGGAUAAUCAAGGCUGAGGUGUGAUGACGAGGCACUACGGUGCUGAAGUAACAAAUGCCCUGCUUCCAGGAAAAGCCUCUAAGCAUCAGGUAACAUUAAAUCGUACCCCAAACCGACACAGGUGGUCAGGUAGAGAAUACCAAGGCGCUUGAGAGAACUCGGGUGAAGGAACUAGGCAAAAUGGUGCCGUAACUUCGGGAGAAGGCACGCUGGUGUGUAGGUGAAGUCCCUGCGGAUGGAGCUGAGACCAGUCGAAGAUACCAGCUGGCUGCAACUGUUUAUUAAAAACACAGCACUGUGCAAACACGAAAGU